rnacentral:rRNA from 1 species
AGCGUAGGCGGCGCGGUAAGUCAGAUGUGAAAUCCCGGGGCUCAACCCCGGAACUGCAUCCGAUACUGCCGUGCUAGAGUAAUGGAGAGGUAGCUGGAAUUAUCGGUGUAGCAGUGAAAUGCGUAGAUAUCGAUAGGAACACUCGUGGCGAAAGCGAGCUACUGGACAUUUACUGACGCUGAGGCUCGAAGGCUAGGGGAGCGAAAG